GGUGCUAUGCAGCUACCUGACUGGAGAAACGUUGACUCAGGAUCAGUGUCACGCGAGUGGAAAAGCUAGGGCGUGGUGUGUUUGAUUUGUUCCCAUAGCUCGGAGCUUUCCCGAGGGACAGCCGUGGAGAUGACAGCCAUGCACUCGGAGGGACCCGGAGCAGGCCUGUGUGACCUUGAAGAUGUGGCCAUUCAUCCUUCUCCCAGGAUGAAUGGGAGUUCCUUAGUGAACCUCAAAGGUGCCUUUACCUCCAUGUGAUGCUGGAGAACUUUACACUAGUAACCUCUAUAGGUCUCUUAUGUGCUGAGUUGCCCAGGGUCACUGCUGAUAGCUCAGCUGUUCUCACUAAGGAGUUGGUUGUUUACCUGUCCUAAACUGUGCAAGUGGGGUGCUGGAAAAAUUCUGGUUGCUACAUCAGAUAGACAUGGAAAGGUGACCUCAGAAAUGCUCAGUGAAAUUGAGGGGCAUCUGGUGGAGGUCAUGACAUCUGGCCUGUUUUCCUAUUAGAUGAGGAAACUGUCUUUUGUCUUUAGUGACCUAGCUGCAAUCCGCUGUACCCUCUGCAAUGUUUUCCAACAGUGAUCCACACCUAAUAUGAUUUGAGUAGUGAACAUAUCAUUAAAUAUUGCCCAAAUGCAUUUUGAGUUGUUUUACCAGAACUUAACUCAGGCAGUCUUUUACACAGCAUGCACUUAUCAUCAGCUAGCAAGAUUUUAUUGAAUAAGAUUGUGUGGUGAGUUUGAGAGAUUUCUUGGCACUUCAUACAUAAUACCAUGAAGCGGCAGUGCCUGAAGGUUGCCUGCUAUUCUUUCCUGUCCUACAGCUCAUCCUGUCUUAUGUCGGGUGAUGUUUGUAAGGUUUUACUGUUUUUAGAGACCCAGCUGUAUGAAGAAACCCUUUCUGCAAAUUAAGCCCUGCUUCUACAUCUGGACAGCAUUCCAGAUUUCAUUUCAGUGAUACAGUCCAUGCUUACUAUGUACAUAUACUGUGUUGAUCCCCACACCUCCAAAAAAAAAAAAAUCCUGUGGACCUUUUCAUAAUCUUAUGACUUGUCCCUGAUCCCACCAGUGUCUGUGCAUUUCAUCAUUGUUUCUCUGAUUUUAGGUUGUGGACACAGAGUAGGUGUCCACACUUGAUGACUCUAAAGGCAGGUCAAUUCACCCAUAUGUCACCCCUGUGACAUCUCUACUCCAGUCUUGAAAGACAUUGUGCACCUGACUACUCCACUUAUGCAGAAGCUGUACAU